rnacentral:rRNA from 1 species
GAUGAACGCUGGCGGCGUGCUUAAGACAUGCAAGUCGAACGAAGAGGUUGUAGCAAUACGGUCUCUUAGUGGCGAAUGGGUGCGUAACACGUGGGUGACCUACCCCGAAGUGUGGAAUAACAGUUCGAAAGGACUGCUAAUACUGCAUGUGGUCCCGGGUUUUAGAAAGCCGGGUCUAAAGCAGUAAUGCGCUUCGGGAGGGGCCUGCGGCCCAUCAGCUUGUUGGUAGGGUAAUGGCCUACCAAGGCUACGACGGGUAGGGGACCUGAGAGGGUGGCCCCCCACAUUGGCACUGACACACGGGCCAAACUCCUACGGGAGGCAGCAGUCGGGAAUAUUGCACAAUGGGCGAAAGCCUGAUGCAGCAACGCCGCGUGCGCGAUGAAGGCCUUCGGGUUAUAAAGCGCUUUUCGGGAGGAUGAGGAAGGACAGUACUCCCGGAAUAAGUCACGGCUAACUACGUGCCAGCAGCCGCCGUAAAAC